UGCGGCCAACAUAGGAAUUAAUAUUCAACUGAAUAAUCGAGAUCAUCGAAAACAAUAAAGUCAAUGCAUACAUAAGUAUAUAGCUACAGUACUCAAUGAUUCAAUACACAUGUAUAUAGCUAUAGAAAGAUCUCCAUUUGUCAAGCUGAAUCUACAAUACUUCACUUUAAAGGAACAGUGUAAAUUCGACUUUAUAUUCUCAAAAGAAGCCUUGUCAUCCUAAUCAAAGCUACUAGCAGCGAUUCCUUGGUUGAAAUAGACAUACAUUUGUUGGAAUCCGAACUAACUAACGUAAUAUAAGACAUAUGUUAACCAAAAAGGGAAGAGUGAACUAGGGGACAGAGCGUGAUCUCAGAGUGUGUUCAGUUCAAAGAACAUGUAGUAACUUGGCUUGUGUAUAUAAUUAUAAGUGUAUAAUAAUAAUUUUAUUAUUAUUUCAAUAUACUAAAUACAUCUAUACUUUUUCUUUUACACCUAUACACUUGAUUGAUUAAUCCCAUCGAGUUAUGGGUCCAGAGUAAGUGUAAAAAAGGUAGAAACAAAAGAGAAAACGAAAGAGAUUCUAUAACGAACAAUUGAGAGCGCAAUCACGUGUAACGAAAAGAUCAAAGAGCAGAGUUUCAAAAAAAGUAUUUCAAAAGGAAUCAUGGAUUCAGAACAGCAUUUUCCCCAGUUAUCCGCAGAGAACUUCAAUAACUAACUAUUUCAACUAUGCGCGAUGACCACAAAUCGCGGCACUACGAAAUUUAAUUUAAAUUUAAUUAAAAAUUAAACGUCAUUUUAACUCAAUAAAUUCUAGUAAUUAUUAAUAAUAGAAAAUACUGAGUACAAUCGCGACAUCUUAUACUUCGCAACAGUAAAGCAAACGAGAUCGUCUUUUCAUCGCAACGCUAAUUCAAACCGAAGUGAGUACUUUUUCGCAACUCUAAUUGUUAACGCGAAAUUUGAAUUCGCAACUCUAAUUCAAACCGUAAUUAAUCACUCGCAACUCUAAUUGAAAAACUGCGAUUAGCCCAAUGUGACAAUGGGCCGACAUGUACGUCAGAAAACAAACAAAUCACAACUAAUACUACUACAAAUACUAAAAGCGAGUACAGUGACAAAGUAGUAACGAGAAUGACUUUCCAUCCUCUGGAUGAUCCAGAAGAUGAAAAGCCAUUAGUAGUUGCCCUCUUGCAUGGCAAUUUGCCGGGCCUCUUCGGCUCGUAGCCUCUUCUUUCUUCGGGCGCGAUGCCCGCUGAAACUUACAUCUAAGCUCGAGACUUUCUAAAUCGCAAACCAAAAAGUAACGUACAAAGGUGAAAUAAAAACAUAAAUCGCGAAAGCUGAUCCAAAUACACAUGGAUGAACAACGAUCAUAUAGAGAUCGCUGUCCGUUCGCAUGUGCAUGCUCGAGCAAUAUUAACGUUCGUGUCGAAACCCAAUCGCGAUCACGACCGCGAAAUUCAAAAAGUCGAUAGGCAAAGCCAGAGACGAUGGCAUGUUCCAUUCGUGCCAGCUUCACCGUUGAUUUUUCGAAUGAAAUUUCCUGAAACAGGUUGGACACGCGAAAACGCGCCUACCCGACGAGAGACUGUGCCAACCUGCCCGGCCCUACCUACUUAUAGUAAACAAUCAUACCAGAGAAUAUACUACCUAUCCUACCCGGAAACCUAUAUUUAAAAUUAAAAAAGAUAGCAAAACAAGCACACCAACACAUUCACUCCACGGUUCUCACACAUAACCCGGGCGCAAAGACCUACACUAGAGAGACGUCCCGGGACGCCUCCGACACCCGAGUUUGGCAUACAACAAGCACACUCUAAUGUUACGUACCAUUUUCCUGAAAUCGACUGACGAAGGCUAGCGACCAUUGCGUACAACGCGAUAAAAGUUAAUCGAUAAAAGUAAAUCUCAGUUCUAAUUACAAAUAUUCAUAAUUCAAGGAGUGUAUCUAUUUCUCAAAAAAAUUAUAGAUGGUUGUAAUUGAAAUGAUAUUUGUGUGAAUUUAUGUUUUAUUAUUUAAAUUUAUAGCAAAUGGAAUAAAUACUAAAACGACGCAAUUCCACAACCUAACCACACACACUAUGUGGAAAGUACGUCGUGCACGAUACACUAACGCAUCGUCAGUCGCUUACAAAUUAUUAUAAAAUCAGUGAUCAUCGUACCCAUUGCCUUUCUCUCACCCAAGUAGCACCUGGACACGUGAGUGAGGUCCUGGCAAUGAACACGGAAAGGUAAAACCUGAAAAUCCUAACUAAAAAGAACGUAUUAGUGCAUCUAUUUCGCCUUUAGCGGGCUGAUCUUUUUUUAUUUUGCAUUUUCAUAUUUUAUCUCAAUUACUAACACUCUAUAUUCUACUUUAUUAAUUUAAUAUAUUACCAAAAUGUCAAUAUUGAAUUGGUUUGAAUUCGUUCAAAUAAUUGACACUAUGAAUUAUUGAAAUUACAUUACAAAGAAGGCAAACUGACACUGAAUAAGAAAUUUAUUUAAUAUUUGACUUAAAGUUAAAUAUUAAUACAAACAACCUCAGGCAAUCCCUUCGUCAAAGCACAUAUUCGAAAGUAUGAAAGCAGUGUUCAAAACUUGUUGCUUUGAUUCCAAAAUUUGUCUGUCGCGAAAUUUCUUCUUGCACAUAAAAUUCAAUACAUUUUUUACGACAGGAUUGGACUUUAAUAUCUCUAUAUUUAUAUUUUAAAUCAAUAUCCAAACUCAAAAAUGAAGGGCAAACAAUUAAAUCCUUUGAAAUAAUGUCAACAGAAAACAGGAGUAAAUACACAUUCCAACUUCAAAUGUAAUUAUAGUGAACAUAUCUUCAAUUACAAAAUUCAAAUGAAUUGUUAAUAUAUUGUUUGUAUCAGUUAGUACCAUUAUCGAUAUUAUGAAUAUAAAAUU